UGUAAUGACAUGGUGCAACAGAACUACAUAAGAUAUUCAUCAAUCACAUUUUUGACGUUCAGAAACCAUUUGUCGAUAUCUCGGAAGAUUAAUUCCAACAGCAGAUCGUAUUAACAAGACAUCCACAAUACCAUCCUGCCGCUUUCUCCCAACAAUGUUGAGCCACUCAUGCUUUUGAAUAGAUACAUCAGGUAAAACUACUGUAACAUCACAAGUCACGCUGCUUGAUCCAUCAAUCAACCGUAGAAUGCCAUUCUUAUAUGAUUGCACGCAUCCUAAAAAUCGAAGUUUUUGGCCGUCCUUACAAUCGUUAAUUUGAUUAAUGAAGAUAAGUUUAGCACUAUCCAUCAGCUGCUAAAUAUAUUGUAAAAAGGAGAACAAGGAAAGAUGAGGGAAGGUGGUAUAGUUUGUGUUUGGAAACUGGGUAAUCGAUUGAAAUAUGAAUUUCGUAAAUGAGCGACUUAAGAUCGCAGCUUUAAUUAAGAAAACGUAGUUUGACUUUUUCAAAAG